GGCCGCGGUAUCCUGACCGUGCAAAGGUAGCAUAAUCAUUUGUUCCUUAAUUAGGGACUUGUAUGAAUGGCCCCACGAGGGUUUGACUGUCUCUUACUUUUAAUCAGUGAAAUUGACCUCCCCGUGAAGAGGCGGGGAUAUGAAAAUAAGACGAGAAGACCCUAUGGAGCUUAAAUUAAUAUAUUCAACAGAUUUUAAAUCGUACCCAACAGGGAUAAUUAUAAUUAAACUGAAUAUAAAAUUUUGGUUGGGGUGACCUCGGAGAAUAAACAAGCCUCCGAGCAAUUUAACUAAGACUAACCCGUCAAAGUCACAUUACUUAUUGAUCCAAUCCUAUUGAUCAACGAAACAAGUUACCCUAGGGAUAACAGCGCAAUCCUAUUUGAGAGUUCAUAUCGACAAUAGGGUUUACGACCUCGAUGUUGGAUCAGGACACCCUAAUGGUGCAGCAGCU
rnacentral:rRNA from 1 species